rfam:TPA: Bos taurus chromosome 26, whole genome shotgun sequence.
CCCCUUGUGGCUCAGCUGGUAAAGAAUCUGCCUGCAAUGCAGGAGACCUGGGUUCAAUUCCUGGGAUGGGAA